CAAUACAUCACCGGCGGACGGGUGCGUAACACGUGGGAAUAUACCUUUGGUUCGGAACAACGCAGGGAAACUUGCGCUAAUACCGAAUGUGCCCUUACGGGGAAAGAUUUAUCGCCAAAGGAUUAGCCCGCGUAGGAUUAGCUAGUUGGUGAGGUAAUGGCUCACCAAGGCUCCGAUCCUUAGCUGUUCUGAGAGGAAGAUCAGCCACACUGGGACUGAGACACGGCCCAG
rnacentral:rRNA from 1 species